GCUCCGUAGGUGAACCUGCGGAGGGAUCAUUACAGAGUUCAUGCCCUACCGGGUAGAUCUCCCACCCUAUGUUAUUAUUACUUUGUUGCUUUGGCGGGCCGUUAGGCUCCGGCCCGACUACCGGCCCCGGCUGGUAAGCGCCCGCCAGAGGACCCAAAACCCUGAAUAUUAGUGUCGUCUGAGUACUAUAUAAUAGUUAAAACUUUCAACAACGGAUCACUUGGUUCUG
rnacentral:misc_RNA from 1 species